GGAGGGAGGAGGGAGGACUUGCGUCUGCCCCAUUAAAUGCUUUGAUUUCCUGCAGCUCAGCCCAGACUCCUACUUUAAUAGCAUUAAACGUAUGAAUGGGGUAAUAAAAUACAGGUGAUUUCCUUGAGCAUUAUUGACAAAGAGAAAAAGUCAUCGCUUCCUUGUUUCUCUCUUUUAGCUUUUCCUGCUUCUCCUGGAAGACGCGCUCGAUGCACUCAGCUUCUCUGCACCCAAAUCCCAUUGUUUUAACCCAAACCCCCCAUCCCCGCGCUGGGGCACUCGCACCCGAGGCGCGAUGCAGGGAGCGGCCCGGAGCUCCCUCCCCGCGUCCAGCCGGGCUCAGCCCCUCGUCCCCGAGCAGCCCCUAGGUGGAGCCCGGCACCCGCAAUUGCUGCAGGACGCCCCGCAGCCGGGGAUGCUCCAGGGCUGCUUCCGCCCUUCCCCCGCACAACGGAGAGGCACGGAGCUGGGGACCCGUCCUGCGUGUCCAACCCACCCGUGGCGUACCUGCGGGUGGCUGCAGGAGAGCACCGGGAAGGAGGAACCGUGAGCUCAGAGCCACGCAAGGCAGCAGUGCCAGGCGAGCCCCUCCCUGCCACCACACGGUUUGCAUGGCAGAGUCUCCACUCCCCGUUCCACCGGGAUCCAUCUGGGCUGCCGUUAGGGAUUUCCGCAGGAAGGGGAGCCGGAUACUCAGUGCAGAAGUUCAGCAGUACAGCACCCUUAUUUUGGCAGCAUCUCCCAUCCAUGAGUGCUCUCAGGACUUCUUUUCAUGCAGGUAACACUGCAGGUGUGGCUCUGCCUGCCUGGGUUUCCCCUGCUUCAUCCCCUGGGCUUGCAACACAUCCUGCUAGUGAAACCAACUGCUGCAAGUUUGCUUAUGUAUGGCUCCAGGGGACUCGUGCCCUGCAGUCCUAGAGAGCACAUUGUGCUCUAUGUCCCACCUCCCACCUUGGGACAGGUGUGUUAACCAGAUUCAGACCCAGCAGAAUAACUGAUACAUUUUCAACAUUUGUUUUCCAUGCUGGGAUUGAAGCUGGGUCUCUGCAAGCAUCUCCAUGAGGAUGAGGGUGCAAAGAGCCCAGUGAAUUCACAUCCCCAUGCAGGGGUGCCACGUAGAUACCUGGCCACAACUUGCUGCACGUGUGCUCACUUACCUCAGUCACCUCAAGCACAGUUCACACCCAGCACACUCAGCGUCCCAGACAUGAACUCACGCUGCUGACCACCAGCAACGUGACCCCAGUGCUCUUUACCUAAGUCCCAAAGAGGAGGAGUCCAGCAGCCACACAUUGUCUGGGGACAGCAAGAAUCGACCCCCAAACAACAUCACUGCCCGAGCUCUUCCUCUUGCUGAGAAAUGAAAGCUCCUGGGAAGCGGAGCUCUCUCCGUGUUUUCCUGUAUCCCGUCCAUUGCAAGGCUUUCCAACUGUAGUUUUUAAAAGAAAGUAUAUAUUGAUUGAUUUUCUUUAAACACUCGUUUGUUAUUUUUAGGCUACUGCUGUCUAGGAGACAGGCAGCUAACCGCAGCUUCUCACGUUCUUUGUAGGAAAGGAGAAAACGAGUUUUCUCAAGCCUCUCUUGCUCCUGCUCAAAAAUCGGAUCCGGGACACCUCACCUCCAUCUCAGCAGUUGGUUUCUGCUCCCGAAGCACAAGCAUGAUUUCAGCUGGAAGCUCAGCUGGCGACUUCAUUUAAAACAAAAAGCUUCUGAACAAAGAAGAUGAACAGGGGCAAAGAACCCGCAUCCUGACACGGGGGAAACCUUGGAAAGGAGAAGGUGAGCCCCCCGGCCCCGGGGCAGCAAAGCCUCCUGGAGAUGAGGCCCGAAGCACAGCACUUGGAACAAGCAGCCUGGCCGGCUCCUGCAGACCUCACUGUGGCAUCAAACAGAAUUUAAACAAAAGGCUUCUGUCAAAUUUAUCUGAAAAAAAAAACCAACACCCGUGACUAGUUUUAUUCUGUUUCUUUGUAAGCAGUAUCUUUUAAAGAUAUCCCCCCAAAUCCACGCUCUCUGCAUUCUCCUGUGCUUUCUCUCUUCUUUUUCUUUCCCCCUUUUUCCCCUCUUCUUUUUGUUUUUAGUCUUUCCACCUCUGCAGAUGUUUCUCUCUGCACUCAUUUUUGUGUUGGACUGCAGGGUAGGAAAAUCCUGAAAGACCACAAGUACUGGAUCCGACCAUGCAAUAUUUGGUUUGGGGAAAACAGAACCAAACCCCAGUAAAUGGCUUAUUUGUACUAUCUCUUCCCAACCUCUCCGGGCUGCACUGCCCACCCCAGGGCCGAGCCCUGAUCUGCGCGGUGGCAUUUCUUGGGCCAGGAGCUGGGGCCAGCCGGGUGGCAAUCCUCACACAGCCCCAGCGCUGAGGGAAGGGCCGGGCUGGAGCCAAGGUCACAUCCCUGGGGUCUCCCCUGGGGGAAGCAGGGUGGAACUUUCCCAUCCAUAGGGUUUUCCUCCUCCUGCUUGGGGUGAUGUCCCAGAACAAGGCUGAGCACGGGUGGAACACAGAGUAAUUCCCCACCAGGGAAUAAUUCCCCCUGCUGCUUGCUGCUGAAGGUUUCCCUCCCUUUAGCCCUGCUUUCUGCACAGUCCCGCAGCUAACAGCCGGCCCCAGUGCUGUGUGUGCCGCUCGGGGAAUUUCCCCACCCGCGCCGAAGGCAGAGCCACAGUUCCUGCAAUUAACACAGGUGCUCUAUGCACAGCCAGAGCCUACAAACACCUCUGGGACGGGGAGUUAAACCCACCCAGAGCUUCCAAACCCAAUAGACGUAAGCAAAGCCAAAUGGGAAAAACACUAACUCUAUUUUCAUCUUAAGCAGCCAAGCCUCCUGCGCCAGCUCCGAUCCACGUCUCCUCUCUGGGAUCUAAUAGGGAAGCGCAAAGCACUCCAUGAUUUAUUCAGUACCCCGGAGACCUUUUUUUUUUAUCUUUUAUUUUUCGUUUCCACAUAAAUUACACAAGCACUUUAUAAAAUGAAUACACAGAAAACACCUUGUAAGUGCAUAACUUAAAAAAAAAAAAA